GAUGAACGCUAGCGGCAGGCUUAAUACAUGCAAGUCGAGGGGCAGCAUGGUGUAGCAAUACACUGAUGGCGACCGGCAAACGGGUGCGGAACACGUACAGAACCUUCCUUCGAGCGGGGAAUAGCCCAGAGAAAUUUGGAUUAAUACCCCAUAGUAUAUUGGAGUGGCAUCACUUUAGUAUUAAAGAUUUAUCACUUGAAGAUGGCUGUGCGGCUGAUUAGGUAGUUGGCGGGGUAACGGGCCCACCAAGCCUGCGAUCAGUAACUGGUGUGAGAGCACGACCAGUCACACGGGCACUGAGACACGGGCCCGACUCCUACGGGAGGCAGCAGUAAGGAAUAUUGGUCAAUGGACGAAAGUCUGAACCAGCCAUGCCGCGUGGAGGAUGAAGGUCCUCUGGAUUGUAAACUUCUUUUAUAUGGGACGAAAAAAGGGCUUUCUAGCUCGUCUGACGGUACCAUAUGAAUAAGCACCGGCUAACUCCGUGCCAGCAGCCGUCGG
rnacentral:rRNA from 1 species